rnacentral:tRNA from 3 species
GGAAAAGUGGCCGAGUGGUUGAAGGCGUUCGCCUGGAAAGCGGAUAUACGUUAGUAGCGUAUCGAGGGUUCGAAUCCCUCCUUUUCCGCCA